rnacentral:misc_RNA from 1 species
GAUGAAGAACGCAGCGAAAUGCGAUAAGUAGUGUGAAUUGCAGAAUUCAGUGAAUCAUCGAAUCUUUGAACGCACAUUGCGCCCCUUGGUAUCCCGAGGGGCAUGCCUGUUCGAGCGUCAUUUCACCACUCAAGCCUGGCUUGGUGUUGGGCGACGUCCUCUUUGGGGACGCGCCUCGAAACGCUCGGCGGCGUGGCACCGGCUUUAAGCGUAGCAGAAUCUUUCGCUUUGGAAGUCGGGGCCCCGUCUGCCGGAAGACCUGCUCGCAAGGUUGACCUCGGAUCAGGCAGGGAUACCCGCUGAACUUAAGCAUAUCAAUACGGAGGA